GUUGCACUACGACGUUGGUGACUGCCAUACAGUUUUGUGAUCUAUGACUUUUAUGAUAUGGGAACUGAAUAGUUUCGUGGCAGUAUACCGGGCUUGUACCCGGAAACUUUAAACGAUGUAAUUCGGUACCCCCCCUGGUUUAACCAGGUCAUAAACUUAGGUAAAACGGCGUUGCGGUGAACUA
rnacentral:other from 1 species